UGAGACGUAGGGAGCGAGCGUUGUCCGGAUUCAUUGGGCGUAAAGCGCGCGUAGGCGGCCCGAUAAGUCGGAUGUGAAAUCCCGGAGCUCAACUCCGGAACUGCACCCGAUACUGUCGGGCUCGAGGUAGGUAGGGGAGAUCGGAAUUCCUGGUGUAGCGGUGGAAUGCGCAGAUAUCAGGAGGAACACCGGUGGCGAAGGCGGAUCUCUGGGCCUUACCUGACGCUGAGGUGCGAAAGCUAGGGGAGCGAACAGGAUUAGAUACCCUGGUAGUCCUAGCCGUAAACGUUGGGUGCUAGGUGUGGGCGGUUAUCAACCCCGUCCGUGCCGAAGCUAACGCAUUAAGCACCCCGCCUGGGGAGUACGGCCGCAAGGCUA
rnacentral:rRNA from 1 species